UACGUAGGGUGCGAGCGUUAAUCGGAAUUACUGGGCGUAAAGCGUGCGCAGGCGGUUCGUUAUGUCUGUUGUGAAAGCCCCGGGCUCAACCUGGGAAUGGCAAUGGAAACUGGCGAGCUAGAGUGUGGCAGAGGGGGGUGGAAUUCCGCGUGUAGCAGUGAAAUGCGUAGAUAUCAGGAGGAAUACCGAUGGCGAAGGCAGGUCUCUGGGCUGACACUGACGCUCAUGCACGAAAGCGUGGGGAGCAAACAGG
rnacentral:rRNA from 1 species